rnacentral:misc_RNA from 1 species
CAAAGAUGUGGAAUUGAAAAAAAGGGGUGAAAAAAAGGAAUGGCUUUGGAUCUAACGUAAUCAUCAGCAACUCUCUGAAAAAUAUUAUUCUCUCACCUUUUUGCGGCGCGGCACGUGUUUCCCUUCUCGAGCUUACGAUACGGAUGAACGCACUUUUUGAAAGGAAGCUUAGAGCGCAGAGAAAACAAAUCUGAUAGACACCAUUAUAAACCCACGUGGCUGUGAGUCAAGUCAGAAAAUUUAGAAUUGUACAAUAAUAAUAUUGCGAUUACCUACUUGUAGAUAACGGCUGAUGUAUGGUUUUCUCAUUAAUAUUUUUUCGUCAGCAAUUUGCCACGCCCACCCAACUUAUACACAGAAGAUACGUAGUAGCAAGCGCAUGCGCUUGACGCAAGGAGAGAAUUAAUUUAGCAGCCAUAUCAAACAUGGCGAUCGGUCAAAAUGCACUCUGAUGUGUCUGUCGACAAUCCCAAAUUUAACAGGAUACUGGUCAUGACAGCGCGAAAAUUUGGACCACGGAAGUAGUUGAAGGUGCUGAGUAGACUCUGAGGGUACUGUAGAAUACUGCAGGGACCAUGUUAGACCCGUCUUCGAGCGAAGAAGAGUCGGAAAAUGACACAUACGAGGAUGAAACGGAUGCGCUGUCCGUACCGAGCCAGGCCGGGCUACGAACGAGCGCAUCCAGCAAUGACAGCCUGCAGACCAGCGGCGCUGUCCCCGGGGCUGGUGGUCAUCGGGCCUCCGUGGUACGGCCAGCGAGUCCAAGUCCAUCCUUGAUCAGUGAAAAGGAGCGGGAGGAAACAGAGAGAUUGCAGCGGGAAGAGGAAGAACACAAGAAGCGUCUGCAGCUGUACGUGUUUGUCAUGCGAUGUAUUGCCUACCCGUUCAACGCCAAGCAACCGACCGAUAUGGCCAGGCGACAGACCAAAGUUACUCGGCAGCAACUUACCACCAUCAAGGAACGAUUCCAGGCCUUCAUCAAUGGAGAAACUCAAAUAGUAGCCGACGAGGCGUUUUGCAACGCCGUGCAAAACUAUUUCCAGGUGUUCCUGAAGAGUGACCGGGUCUUGAAGAUGGUGAUGAGUGGUGGCUGUUCCUCCCAUGACUUCCGGGAAGUGUUCAAGAACAAUGUGGAGAAACGCGUCCGGAGUUUGCCUGAGAUUGACGGCCUGAGUAAAGAGACUGUUCUCAGUUCUUGGAUGGCCAAGUUUGAUGCCAUCUAUCGAGGCGAGGAAGACCCACGCAAACAGCCACAGAGGUUAUCGACAGCUGCUGCAUCCGAGCUCAUCCUGAGUAAGGAACAGUUGUAUGAGAUGUUCCAGAACAUCCUGGGCAUCAAGAAGUUUGAACAUCAGCUGCUUUAUAAUGCAUGCCAGUUGGACAAUGCAGAUGAGCAGGCAGCCCAGAUUAGGAGAGAGCUGGACGGCAGACUGAAACAGGCUGAAGAUCUUGCAAGGACAAAGAAAGGUCCUCGGUUUAUCGUCAAGGAGAUGGAGAGUCUCUUUGUGGAGGAGCUCAGGUCGGCUGUGAACCUCCUGAUGGCCAAUCUGGAGAGUCUGCCGGUCUCCAAGGGCAACACCGACUCCAAAUACUCACUCCAGAAACUCAAAAGGGCGCAGAAUACAGCAGUCUCUAUGAUGGAAGUGACUGAGGACUCGGAGCCAACGUUGUCCAAGUCGGAUGUCGUCCUGUCAUUCACACUUGAGGUUCUUGUGAUGGAGGUGCAGGGUCUGAAGUUCCUGGCUCCCAACAGAAUCGUCUACUGCACCAUGGAGGUGGACGGUGGGGAGAAAUUGCAGACGGACCAGGCAGAAGCCAGCAAACCUGCAUGGGACACCCAGGGUGACUUUUCCACCACGCACCCCUUGCCUGUUGUCAAGAUCAAACUCUACACAGAGAACACAGGAGUCCUAAGCAUUGACGAUACCCUCCUUGGCAAGAUUGUUACCAGACCAACACCCAACAGCCCCAAGACCCCAGAAUGGUACAAGAUGAACACAUCCAAGCAGUUUCAAGACCCAAUCAAGAUCAAGCUGGCUAUCCGUAUGGACAAGCCUCAGAAUAUGAAACAUUGCGGAUGGAUGUACUGCAUGGGAAAGACGGUAUGGAAGAAGUGGAAGAAGAGAUUCUUUGUACUAGUCCAGGUGAGCCAGUACACAUUUGCCCUGUGCAGUUACAGAGAGAAGAAAGCAGACCCCAAUGAGAUGAUGCAGCUGGACGGCUACACGGUCACCUACACAGACCCAGAACCAGACCUAGAGAGCCAGGGCGGACGUUUCUUCUUCAAAGCUCUAAAGGAAGGCGACGACAUCGUCUUAGCCUGUGACGAGGAGGUUGAUCGCCAGCUGUGGGUGCAGGCCAUGUACAGGGCUACCGGCCAGACACACAAACCGGUACCCCCUACACAGAUAGCUGGUGGCAAAGGUGCCAAUGCUAUCAUCUCUAGACUACAGGGAGAUGCUGACAGAGCUCGCAAGCAUGGCAUGGAUGAGUUCAUUCACAAGAGUCCCUGUGAGUUUGACCACUCGGCACUCUUUGAGUUACAGCAAGAACUGACUCUGGACCACCGACUCAAUGACUCCUACUCGUGCCUGGGUUGGUUCAGCCCCGGUCAGAUCUUUGUCUUGGAUGAGUACUCGGCACGCUACGGGGUCCGCGGCUGCCAUCGCCACCUGUGCUAUCUGAACAACCUGCUGGACCGUGCUGAGAAAGGCACCAUGAUUGACCCAACGCUCAUCCAUUACAGCUUUGCAUUCUGUGCCUCACAUGUCCAUGGAAACAGGCCUGAUGGGAUCGGUACAGUCACCAUUGAUGAGAAAGAGAAAUUUGAUGAAAUCAAGGAACGUCUUCGAGGUCUACUUGAACAUCAGAUCACGCAUUUCAGGUACUGUUUUCCAUUUGGGAGACCAGAAGGCGCCCUGAAAGCCACGCUCUCAUUACUGGAAAGGGUCCUGAUGAAGGACAUUGUGACCCCAGUGCCCCAGGAAGAGGUUCGUUACACUAUCAAGAAGUGUUUGGAGAAUGCUGCCCUCGUCAAUUAUGAACGAGUCUCUGCCUAUGCUAGGAUAGAAGAGAGUUUGAACAGUGAGGAUCUUCCUCCGGAGAAGCGGCUAGAAGACGUUCUCCAUCUCGCCGAGCUGUGCAUUGAUGUCCUCCAGCAGAACGAGGAGCAUCAUGCGGAGCGCGACAAACGCAAAGAAUCUCAGGCCUUUGCAUGGUUCAGCGAUUUACUGGUGGAGCAUGCUGAAAUCUUCUGGUCGCUGUUUGCUGUCGACAUGGACAGUGCCCUGGAGGUCCAACCGCCCGAUACGUGGGACAGUUUCCCGCUGUUCCAAUUGCUCAAUGACUACCUACGCUUGGACAACAAUCUGAACGGUGGGCGAUUCCACCAGCAUCUUCAGGACACAUUCGCCCCCCAGGUGAUUCGCUACGUGGAUCUGAUGGAGUCCUCCAUUGCCCAGUCCAUCCAUCGUGGAUUCGAGCGAGAAAAGUGGGAACCAAAAGGUAACGGGACAGAAACCUCCGAGGACCUAUUUUGGAAGUUGGACGCCUUGCAGACGUUCAUCCGAGACCUUCACUGGCCCCAGGAGGAGUUUGCCAAGCACCUGGACCACCGCCUUAAGCUCAUGGCUGCCGAUAUGAUCGAGUCUUGCGUCAACAGGACAAUGAAAGCGUUUGAGGUUUGGAACAAGAAAGGUCGGAUCAACUGUGAUUAUCGUGUGCCCUCUGAGUUGUGUGUCAUGAUGAACGUUCUGACUGAUGCUAAGGUCCAGUCAGCGAAGCUCUGCCCCGUCUCUAAGGACCAGGAGAAUCACCAGUACCACACCAAGAUUGACGAAGUCGUGAGCAGACAGAGCCAUAAUUUGAUUGAGAGCUUGGUGGUUAAACUCCGGCUCGUCAUGGAGGGCAUGCUGUCCAAGCUAGCUCGCUAUGAUGAAGGCACAUUCAUGGCUUCCAUCCUGUCAUUUACGAAUCCUGGUUCAGAAGUGGCCGAUGACUACGCAAGCUUCGUCAGUGAGAAUCUGGACGAGGUUCGAGAGUGCCUGCAUGAUGAGGAAUUCAUCUUUGCCCUUUUUGACGCCUUUUAUACAGCCAACAUGAAUCUGCUGUGUGACUGGCUGUCAGACCGGAUGGACCUGCAACUCCAUGUGCACCAGCUCAGCACCCUGCUACGAGUUACCAAUAAAAUGUACAAGGAUUUUGAGCUGCACGGCGUGUCCAGCAAGAGCCUGAACAGCAAGACGUACGAGGCCGUGCGUCACCGGCUACAGGUGGAGGAAGCCACCGCCUCGGUAACCCACGGCAACCUGGCCUUGACCAACGGCAGCACGGAGGACGAGGACGAUGAUGAGGAGGAUUAAGGAGAACACUUCAAGAAAAAAAAACAACACCAAAACCAAAAGCCAUCCAGCAAACUAGGAGGCCAUCGCCAAGAUGAGAUAACCAGGUACCGAUGGACGCUGCAAACUUUGGAUUUGAUAAACAUUUUGCAAAUUCUCUGGAACAUUUCUAACUAAUGUGAUUUUUGUUUUUGGGAGGGGGUAGUGUGUUAGUAGCCCAUCACAAGUCCAGUCACAAGUCCAGUCACAAGUCCAGUCACAAGUCCAGUCACAAGUGCACGUAAAUCACAAGUCCUUUUACAAUUCCAUAAAAACUUAACAGGGGUAUGAGCUCAGAAAGUUUCUCAGUUGUUGUCCCUUCUGUUCGCACCUUCACUUGCAGCACACGUAUUGCAAUCUCCCUCAUCCAUUCACUGUAUCUGUUCCAAAGGCCAGUACUGUGAGAUAUUCUUCUAGUUUUUUUUCUCGAACUGCUUCAGUUUGGAAAUCCUUACCAGAAUCCUGUUUUCCACCAACUAUUAGCUAUCCUGGCAUGGUCAAACGAAAUGUGAAUAGAUAUCUCUCUUUCUGUAACUUUAUCCUCUAUACUUUCUUUUGUAGCCCUCACCUUGAGUGGCCUUCUGGCCUUGCAAUAGGCGAUUCCCAUUAAAAAUAGAGGGGGGGGGUAAUAACUGGAAAUAACAAUGACAAAGGAACGCUUUUUCACGGUAUAUUUGAAUGGGUUGUGAGUGGACUGGAGGACUUGUGAUGGACUUCUGAAAACUGGAGGGGGGGGGGGUAGUUUGUGCAUACAAUAUCCCACAGGAUGCUCAUGUUGAGGCUGGUUCGUACUCAGCGGGAAAGCAGUUGCAAUGACAGACUUGAGAUGUUAUAUACUAACGGCAAGUGUUUGUACUGCAUUUAAGCAAAACCUGACUUUAUAGUCAGGUAGUCUUUGUUUUCCUGCAUCAUGAAUGAUCAGAUCCCAAUCAUAUCCCUGGGUACGAACUGGUGUUUUUUUAAGGGUUUCCAUGGUAAUGACAAGUUACUUUUUACUUAGUUAUAUGAAGCUUUUAGUUUAAAGGGAAAAAAAAAGAAGAAAUCAAAUUUACAGAAGUUUCAAAUAUUCUAGAUUAAACUGGAAUAGUCAAGACGAAUUUUAGUUGCAAUUUCUGAACAAAAAAACUGAACAUGACAUUGUCAAAGGGGAUUUCACAUUUUGCCUUGCAGGGGGAACGGAGAAUGUCAAAAGAUUUCUAAGAAUUCUGGGAACCAAAACCAGAAAAUACAGUACUAAAGAAUGCUGCGUUACUUCCCAGAAUAACGGCGUCAUUGCAAGCUGUACAACACAAGAUGCUAGUAGUUUUUGAGAAAAAAAAAGCAAAAGUAAUCACAGUAGUUGCAUAAAACGCUGAGAAAUCUUUCCUGCCCAAAGUUGCAUGUAGUACUCUAAAUUAUUUGUAAUGUAAUCAUAGUUCACAGUACUAUGUCAAUGUACAUUAUGAAACCUGUUCCCAGAAAAUGAGACUAAUGUCACAAAAAUGGGCUUCGGAUAUUAUUUAAUAGAGAAAAGAACUUUGUAUAGACCCAACUUUUGUGACAUCACAUUGAGUGGCAGGGCAGUAUGCAAAGUACAUGUAUGUUUUUAGUGCCCGGGAUUUGGCUAAAUGUCACUUCAAACGUGACGUCAUGAAACUAGGUCUAUAGUCGGCACUGUUAACUUCAGCUGGUUUAUAGCGUUCGAGGAAUAUGGCUAAGAGUUCAGUUCAGAUAAUAUAGAAAAUGGAAACUGCAACUUUAAUUUAUGAGAACAGAAAACAAAGAGUACUACCUAGACGCCCAUAGUUUCCUAGGCUCGCAAAAGCAAAACCAAUCCCAAACAAAUCCAUUGCUAGAAACCUGCCGUAGACGAACCUCAAAAGUGAAAGUGUACCAUAAGCAUGUGCAGUGAGAUACUGACGUGGUUGUAUUUGGCGUGAGACCCUAGUUAGUCUUGAUUCCAGGCUGCAUACACAAAAGUCUUCCUAUAGCCUUAUUUUUAGUGUUACUCCUGAGCUAGCCUCCUCAUCAUCGCCCUCAUCCUCUGCUGCUGUUGCCAAGGCCAGGCUGAAUUGAAGACCACCACCAAAAAUAGGAGGCUUUUGUUUGUAUGCAGCCGCAGAGAUUAUGAUGAAUUUCUAUAGAUAUCUCUUGUUCGGUUGUUUUUGUUUCUGUUUUUCUUUUCUCACAAAUGUGAUUUGAAAUACAUGUAAUAAGAAACCCGAGUCAUUCAAGAUUUUGAUUUCGACAUUUUUUGCUAAGAAAUCGUAAGGUUCAUUUCAACCAAGUUGUCUGCUUUAAUAAUGACCUUAAAAGGACUGUUUGGAGUAUUUAAUUGGAAUCAUAUUUUAAAAAGAUCAAAUUGAUUUUUGCACUGUAUUUUAUUUUAUUUUUAUUUUUAUUAUUUAUUUAUUGUUUUGUGAAAGCUAAAACGGGCUACUUGGAAAAAUACGUACUAUUAAAAUUGUAUUUCUUUUACUUGUGACUUGUACUCAGAUAAUUUGUGCAUAGUACCGGUAAUUAAGUACAUGUAUCCUGAGCAAUAGAUUCACUAAAGCAACUCUGCUGGGCCCAUGUUUAACUUUGGCCUAGGUUCAACAUUGGCCCAGGUUCAACAUUGGCCCAGGUUCAACAUUGGCCCAGGUUCAACAUUGGCCCAGGUUCAACAUUGGCCCAGGUUCAACAUUGGCCCAGGUUCAGUCAGGUUUGGCCCAGGCCCAUUUUUUUUGCCCAGGUUCAACAUUAGCCAAGCUUCAUCUUUGGCCAGGUUUAACAUUGGGCCCAGGUAUAACAUUGGGCCCAGACGCAACAUUUGGCCCAGGUUCAAGGAUUCAGCCAGGUUAAACAUUAAUUUUGACCCAGGUUUGUCGUUGGCUAAGGUUCAGCUUUGACCCAUGUUCAACAUUGGGCCCAGGUUCAACAUUGGGCCCAGGUUCAACAUUGGGCCCAGGUUCAACAUUGGGCCCAGCCACCAGGAUCAACUUUAGCUCUGGUUCAACUUUGACCCAGUUUCAACUUUGGCCCAGGUACAACAUUGGGCCCAGAUGCAACAUUUGUCCCCGACUAAUAACAUCAGGCAUUCAGAAACGUGCCAAAAAAAGCUUGUGAGUUUAUUUGCCAAAGUUGAUCACUCAUACGUGUCAUUUUUCCCCCCUGAAUAAUACUUCAGGCCAUUAAUCAGUUUUGUUCAAAAAUAUUUUGAGUACUUUGCUUUAUGUCCGCAUGGAUAUUUAUAGGUAUAAUCCUGGCCAAAUCUCACGGGGCCCCCAACCCCAGCCCCCAUUCAAUGUUGUCUCUCAUGACGUGAUAUGUGCUCCAUCAGCUGGAGAGAACAGCAUUGACUGGUGGAGCGGGGGAGUGGGUGACGGUGGGAGGUUAUUUCCAAGUGUCCCAACCAUUUUCGCCGGGAUCGUAGGAUAAAAAAUAAGUCUGUAAAUGUUUUGUCAUUUAUUCCAAACGAUAGGUGUUCCGUUCCAAAAAUGUUGACAAUUUCAGUUUAAAUAUUUUAAAGUAUAAAUUACAAGUACAUUUAAUUAUUUAUAGUAUAUGAAGUACAUUAUUUUAUUUCAGUAACUAUUGUUCGAAAAGCAAUAGUUCAGUUUUUCUUCCAAGUCAAUCAAGUAAAGUCUACAAUUUUUUUCCCCCACAAGGUUCAGCACUAUUCUUAAGGACAUUUUUGGAAACUUCAUCUUUUGUUUGCAUUGAAGACAAUACUUUGACUUUUUGUCAUUUCAAACCAGAGAGAAAGUCAAAUUCGUAAAUUUGAUUAAAUUUUGUUUUGGAUAAUAUGUUUCUUCCAAGACUUAAAAGUUAGGCAUUUUGGGUUACCUAAUAACAUAUUCUAGAAGAUUGUUUGAGUUGGUUUUUUUUUUGAAGAAAGGUGUCUGUCCACAUUAAAAUUAUGUGCAUGUAUUGUAAAUACCAUUUAUUGUUAUAUUAACCAAAAAUCUUUCUUCUAAAAUUCAGAUUGUUUGAUUCAUAAUUUUGGUAAAAGUCACUUUUCGACCAAAAAAAAAAUGGAACAUAUAAAAAUCUGACAACUUAUCUGGUUUUGUUUUGUAAUAUUUUCAAAGAAAUUGGUAUAAAUAUAAUCAUC